GCGGAGGUGGGACGACGAAAUCGAAUUCUGUGACCGCUUUAGGUCGUGAGGGUUCAAGUCCCUCUCUCCGCA
rnacentral:tRNA from 1 species